rnacentral:rRNA from 1 species
UACGUAGGGGGCAAGCGUUGUCCGGAUUAUUGGGCGUAAAGCGCGUGUAGGUGCCAUGUAGGUCCGCUGUGAAACUUGAGGCUCAACCUCAAGCUGUCGGUGGAAACCACAUGGCUAGAGUCCGGAAGAGGAGAGUGGAAUUCCUGGUGUAGCGGUGAAAUGCGCAGAUAUCAGGAAGAACACCAAUGGCGAAGGCAGCUCUCUGGGACGGUACUGACGCUGAGACGCGAAAGCGUGGGGAGCGGACAGG